UGCAAAAGGUUUGCCUGAUGGUAAUAAUGC
rnacentral:piRNA from 1 species